rnacentral:rRNA from 1 species
CAAUAGCGUAUAUUAAAGCUGUUGCGGUUAAAAAGCUCGUAGUUGGAUUUCUGUCAAGUACAACUGGUCCGCCCUCCGGGUGAGCACAUAGUUUGGUCUUGGCAUCUUGCUGGGAAUUGUUGCUGCACUUGGCUGUGUGGCGCAGUGCCCAGCACUUUCACUUUGAGGAAAUUGGAGUGUUUCAAGCAGGCAAUGCCUUUGAACACAGUAGUAUGGAAUAAUUAGAUUGGGCUUUUGCUCCAAUUUGUCGGUUUCUGGAGCUGAGGUGAGAAUUAAUGGGGAUUGUUGGGGGCAUCCGAAUUUAGCCGUCAGAGGUGAAAUUCUUGGAUCGGCUAAAGACGGACAACUGCGAAAGCGUUUGCCCAGGAUGUUUUCAUUGA